AGAGUUUGAUCCUGGCUCAGAUUGAACGCUGGCGGCAGGCCUAACACAUGCAAGUCGAGCGCGAAAGUUCUUCGGAAUGGGUAGAGCGGCGGACGGGUGAGUAACGCGUAGGAAUCUGUCCGGUAGUGGGGGAUAACGUUCCGAAAGGAACGCUAAUACCGCAUACGUCCCACGGGGGAAAGAGGGGGAGGUCUUUCGGGACCCCUCUCGCUAUCGGAGGAGCCUGCGUCGGAUUAGCUAGUUGGUAGGGUAAAGGCCUACCAAGGCGACGAUCCGUAGCUGGUCUGAGAGGAUGAUCAGCCACACCGGAACUGAGACACGGUCCGGACUCCUACGGGAGGCAGCAGUGGGGAAUAUUGCGCAAUGGGGGCAACCCUGACGCAGCCAUGCCGCGUGUGUGAAGAAGGCCUUCGGGUUGUAAAGCAUUUUCAGAGGGGAGGAAAGCCUCAGGGUUAAUACCCCUGGGGGGUGACGCUACCCUCAGAAGAGCCCCGA
rnacentral:rRNA from 1 species